CUAAGCUUCUAAGACAAAAGGGAAACAACCCAGAUCGUCAGCUAAGGUCCCUAAAUGUAUGCUAAGUGGAAAAGGUUGUUAAAUCGCUCAGACAAUCAGGAGGUUGGCUUAGAAGCAGCAAUCCUUUAAAGAUAGCGUAAUAGCUCACUGAUCGAGCGAUUUUGCGCCGAAAAUGUAACGGGGCUCAAGCAUACUACCGAAGCUACGAGUUUACUAGUAAGUACUAGUAAGCGGUAGAGGAGCGUUCUGUGUUAGGUUGAAGUCAAACUGAGAAGUUUGGUGGACGAGACAGAAGUGAGAAUGUCGGCAUGAGUAACGAAAAAAUAAGUGAGAAUCUUAUUCGCCGAAAACCUAAGGUUUCCUGGGGAAGGGUCGUCCUCCCAGGGUUAGUCGGCUCCUAAGUCGAGGCCGAAAGGCGUAGUCGAUGGACAACAGGUUAAUAUUCCUGUACUACCUUUGAAUCGUUAUUAGCGAUGAGGGGACGCAGUAGGAUAGGUCAGCCACUUAUUGGAUUGUGGUGUAAGCUGGUAGGAGGAAAGAGAUGGCAAAUCCGCUCUUUCAAUACUCUGAAAAGUUAAUGCGAGCCUCUUUGAGGUGAAGUGAUCGACUCCACACUGACUAGAAAAGCCUCUAGUGAGAGUCAAGGGUAGCCGUACUAAAACCGACACAGGUAGGUGGGUAGAGAAUACUAAGGCGCGCGGGAUAACUCUCGUUAAGGAACUCGGCAAAUUAGCCUCGUAACUUCGGGAUAAGAGGUGCCUCUCUAUGUGAAAGUACUUGUUACUGGAGCACCGAGAGGUUGCAGUGAAAUGGCUCAAGCGACUGUUUAACAAAAACACAGGUCUCUGCUAAACCGUAAGGUGAUGUAUAGGGGCUGACACCUGCCCAGUGCUGGAAGUUAAUGGGAGAUGUUAAAUCUUCGGAUUGAAGCAUCGAACUGAAGCCCCAGUGAACGGCGGCCGUAACUAUAACGGUCCUAAGGUAGCGAAAUUCCUUGUCGGGUAAGUUCCGACCCGCACGAAAGGUGUAACGAAUUGAGCACUGUCUCAACGAGAGGCCCGGUGAAAUUGAAAUGUCCGUGAAGAUACGGACUUCCCAUAGCUAGACAGAAAGACCCCGUGGAGCUUUACUGCAACUUGGCUUUGUAUUUUAGAACAAUAUGUGCAGGAUAGGUGGGAGACUUUGAUGCAUCGUCGUCAGACGGUGUUGAGUCGUUGUUGAGAUACCACCCUUAUUGUUUUGGAAUACUAACUAAGUCCCGUUAUCCGGGAAUAGGACAGAGUCUGGUGGGUAGUUUGACUGGGGCGGUCGCCUCCUAAAGAGUAACGGAGGCGUUCAAAGGUUUCCUCAAAACGGUUGGAAAUCGUUUGUAGAGUAUAAGGGCAUAAGGAAGCUUGACUGCAAGACUUACAAGUCGAGCAGGGACGAAAGUCGGACCUAGUGAUCCGGUGACACCGAAUGGAAGGGUCAUCGCUCAACGGAUAAAAGUUACCCCGGGGAUAACAGGCUAAUUUCUCCCAAGAGUUCAUAUCGACGGAGAAGUUUGGCACCUCGAUGUCGGCUCGUCGCAUCCUGGAGCUGAAGUUGGUUCCAAGGGUUGGGCUGUUCGCCCAUUAAAGCGGUACGUGAGCUGGGUUCAGAAC
rnacentral:rRNA from 1 species